ACUAGGGAUCGGGCGAGCUUGCUUUAUAUGACUCGCUCGGCAUCUCACGAGAAAUCAAAGUCUUUGGGUUCUGGGGGGAGUAUGAUCGCAAGGCUGAAACUUAAAGGAAUUGACGGAAGGGCACCACCAGGAGUGGAGCCUCCGGCUUAAUUUGACUCAACACGGGGGAACUCACCAGGUCCAGACACAAUAAGGAUUGACAGAUUGAGAGCUCUUUCUUGAUUUUGUGG
rnacentral:rRNA from 1 species